UACGAAGGGGGCUAGCGUUGCUCGGAAUCACUGGGCGUAAAGCGCACGUAGGCGGCUUACUAAGUCAGGGGUGAAAUCCUGGAGCUCAACUCCAGAACUGCCUUUGAUACUGGUGAGCUUGAGUCCGGAAGAGGUGAGUGGAACUGCGAGUGUAGAGGUGAAAUUCGUAGAUAUUCGCAAGAACACCAGUGGCGAAGGCGGCUCACUGGUCCGGUACUGACGCUGAGGUGCGAAAGCGUGGGGA
rnacentral:rRNA from 1 species